CCGCUGCCCCCCCAGCUUCCUGAAGUUGAGGUGAAAUCUGCGUUAUCACAAAGCUGCUCUCGCUCCCACAGCAUCUAGUCUCUUUGUUUCCGUAGAUAGGCUAACACUGUCCUGUUAGAACACUGUGUUUGUUGUCCCUACUGUUUAGGCAUUGAUCCCAGGUUCACAAUGAAGGGGUGGCCAGGCCAACCAGGCAGCAGGACCAGGCACAUUCUCAGACUCAGGAAGAAGCUGCCCACUGACAGCGGAGAUUUAGGUUCUCCCAUCUAUAACACUACCACUCUGAAGACCAACACAGGGACCCUUCAGAAAAAGCAUGGACACAGCAGCACAUGAAAAGGCGUCUGACAUCUUUAGAGCAGGAAGUCCAAUUACAGUGAGUCACCACUGGACACUGGCAUGACCUUGGCUGAGGCAGGUCCACAGAGAUGGUGAGGGAUCUGUGACUGCCCGGAGUGGAGAGGGUUAUGGAAGAACAUUGGGGCAAUGUGGAGGAGAUAGAAGGCGUCCAGAGCUAACCUGGGCUGUCGUAAGCCCAGGAGGCUCGGCUUGCACAUCCUGUGCUGGACUUCCGGAGGCUCCCUUGCCUUCCUCGUCCUCAGUCAAAUGGGCUUGAAGAGCAACCUGCUUCCUGUGAAUCCAUCUGUCCCAGGCCCUGUGGUAGAAGCCAGGCUAAGAGCCUGGCCAGUGGACUCUGUUGAUCCACCUGUCUUCACCGCCCUGGGAACUGAGUUUGCAGAGGUGUGCACUGUACAUGGCUUUUUAUGUGGAUGGUGAUGAUUUCACUUGUAAGAUGGAAAAGCAGUCAUGUAUUAGACUGACUCCCCCGAGGCCUAAGAACAUCAUAGUGACCCUGCCUCCUCAGGAGAACCAGCACUAAUCGUGAUCAAGGAGCUGCCUAGGACAGAUGAGUGAGUGGGUGGAUGGCUCUGCACUAACAGCUACAACCCCACCUCUGAGAUGUUACUAGGUCUCAGGCAUCAAAUCCUGAUUCCCUUGACUCCGAUGGGCUGCCAGGAAGGCAGGUUGCAUCCUCCAGGACAACCCCCAAGAGCCUGGGCUGUUCCAGUGUGCUGAUUCAGGCCAGAGCCUGGGUGCAUGCCUGGGCCUUUCCAUCACAAUGGGCUCAUGCCAGUGGCCAGAGGAGCCCAGCUGGGAGACUGCCCCGAGACUGGCAGGCUGUUCCUGGUGAGUCCUCGGUGACCCCUGGGUGUGAGUGGGAGCUCUGUGGUCCAGGACCAUUUCUUGGACCCAUUACAGGGCCGGUGGUUCUGAGUCGCUAAACAAGCUGGUGUCUGUGGGAGAGGAAAUGUCUUCUAACAGAGUGACAGUUCUCAGCGGUCAUCCUGCCGGGUGACUUAGUCCCUGGGCGGCCUACAGUAAGAAGGGACACUGAGAGGCCUGGAACGGAGAAGAGGACUCCUCAUUUGACUUCAGGAGCCACAGAUGGCACCAGGUGCCUUGUUCUUGGACAGCUGAGGGAGCAGGCGACAAGCCCCAAGGUAGUACAGAGGGUUGGCAACUGCCAGAGCUCUUCCAGCCUUAGUUUCUCCACCUGUCAUCUUGGGCGUGGUCACUGCUCUGAGUGCUGGACUCGUGUUUGUUAUAAGGACACAAGUCAGAGGAAGGGAGCUGGAAUGGAGGAGGUUUCCGUGACCCAGAGGAAGUGGCUGCUGACAGUCCCCUCAGGACUACCAGGCAUACAUGGCCCUGAAGCCAGUGCUCUGCUUAAUAAACAGCUGAAGAUGGCUAACAAAUUGAGGCACUGGGCCCCCUGCUCUGCCUUCUUCCCUGCUGUGUGCCCUGGCUGUGGCUUGAAACAGGAACAUGAGGCACCCCUAGCCUCAGACACAUGCACUGGGCAUCACCUGACACUUAUGCCCAUCCCAGCUCCACGAACCUGACCCCUGAAGAGGGCUGUAGCAGAGAGCUGACUGAGUUCACCAUCUCUGCAUGGGGACUGACCCAGGUGGACUGCAGAGGAGCAGGUCAUCUGGGGACCUGGGUGAGCACUGACUCAGGGUGCCCCCUCCCAGCUCCAAGGCAUGGAUGGCAUCUACAUGAAGAACUUGAGGGGACCUUGGCUCCCAGAGGAGUGGAAUAAUGCAGAGAAGGAAAUACAUUCACACUGUGCAAAUCCAUUCAGAACGCCUGCCAGCUUUGCAGCCAAGCCUGGCUUGGCCACUGCACCUGGGUCCUGUGGCCUCCUGGGUCUGGACAGGGGAGGUGUGCCACUAACAGGGAAGCCCUUUUCAGGAGUUCUACAUGAUGGUGGGUGUCAGGAAUUUCUGUGUUCCUAGAGCACAGCAAUGUUUGUUGUGUGAACAUUGCUGUGCUCUCUGUUCUGGUUCUCACAUUUAGUAGCUCAGCAUCAUUUGCUCUUGGGGAUGACCUGACUGGGACAUUUGUUCCAUUUUCUGAAUCAAAUGACACAGAAAACUCAGAACGUUAUUCUGGUAGGCGCUGUGGACUUGGUGUUCUAGAAUCGAGCUGCUCAGUAUAAUUCUGUUAUACCAGAGAUGUUCUGUCCUCAAUGCCAUCAAACCAUGGCACCCACUGACUAUGUAUGUGUGGCCAUCACAUGCUUGAAAUGUGGCUAGCAUGGGUGAGGAAAUGAAUUAGUGACUUCAUUUAAUCUUAAUUAGUUUAAAUUUAACCACUUGUAAUUAGUGUCUGCCAUAUUAGCCAAUAUUAUUUUAGAAUGUUCUUUUUCAAGCUAGACAUUGCUUGGCUGCUCUGAGCCAUGACAGUGCCACAUGGAGAGGGUCUCCAAAGUGUUCAGUCCUUUUGGCCUCAUACAAUA